UGGGGAAUAUUGCACAAUGGGCGCAAGCCUGAUGCAGCCAUGCCGCGUGUAUGAAGAAGGCCUUCGGGUUGUAAAGUACUUUCAGCGAGGAGGAAGGCGUUGUGGUUAAUAACCGCAACGAUUGACGUUACUCGCAGAAGAAGCACCGGCUAACUCCGUGCCAGCAGCCGCGGUAAUACGGAGGGUGCAAGCGUUAAUCGGAAUUACUGGGCGUAAAGCGCACGCAGGCGGUCUGUCAGGGCGGAUGUGAAAUCCCCGGGCUCAACCUGGGAACUGCAUCCGAAACUGGCAGGCUAGAGUCUUGUAGAGGGGGGUAGAAUUCCAGGUGUAGCGGUGAAAUGCGUAGAGAUCUGGAGGAAUACCGGUGGCGAAGGCGGCCCCCUGGACAAAGACUGACGCUCAGGUGCGAAAGCGUGGGGAGCAAACA
rnacentral:rRNA from 1 species